AUUGAACGCUGGCGGCAGGCCUAACACAUGCAAGUCGAGCGGAGCGGGGGACGGGGGAGUGAUGCCAAGGUAUCGGCCUGGUCGUGGGGGAUAACGUCCGGUACUGGGCGCUAAUACCGCAUACUAUCACAUGCGCCUGGGUCGGAUUAGCUUGUUGGUGGGGUAAAGGCCUACCAAGGCGUCGACCCGUAACUGGUCUGAGAGGAUGAUCAGUCACACUGGAACUGAGACACGGUCCAGACUCCUACGGGAGGCAGCAGUGGGGAAUAUUGGACAAUGGGCGAAAGCCUGAUCCAGCCAUGCCGCGUGUGUGAAGAAGGUCUUCGGAUUGUAAAGCACUUUAAGUUGGGAGGCGUUACCAACAGAAUAAGCACCGGCUAACUUCGUGCCAGCAGCCGCGGUAAUAC
rnacentral:rRNA from 1 species